CUCAUGUUUUUAUUAUCAUAUUUGAGUUCACAUUUCUUAGCUUCUAAUCCAGUGGUAAAACUUAAAUUAGACUAAAUUUCAUGGAGAAAAUCUCAGAAACUUUGCCUUUUUUUAUGGCUUUUGGCCUUGACUGUGUUGUUUAAAUCCUUCUGUGUUCAUAUAUGCGCAAGUUCCCAUCUCGUCACAUAUUUUUAGUUUCUGGUUUGCCAACUCUUUAUUUGCAAUGUGAUGCAGCACAGUUGGCAACUAGCACAAAUCAAUUAGUUAUUUAGGAAGUAUUUCUGUCCUAGGGCAAUUCAUCGUUACAUUUGCUGGAACUGUAGGCAGAGAAUGGCACUUUGGUUUUACAGAGCAAUUAGUAACACUAUUAAACUCUUUAGGGUAGACUAGGGGCUGAUUUUUAGGAUUUGAUUUUUUUUUUUUGACCAAGCCUGGUACUUCUUUGGCCUAAGAAGAACUGAAGAACCACUGUAGUGCUGGAAUUGUUCCUUCACAUUUCACAGCGAAUGUAGACUGAGUAUGCUUUGGUUUAUUCUCCCUUUGCUUUAUUGUUUCUGAAUCAGUAUGGUUAUGGACAAAAAACAAAAAGAAAAAAGGAAAAAAUAAAAUAAUAUACAUCUGUUUCUAGUGUCAAAA